UACGUAGGUGGCGAGCGUUGUCCGGAUUUACUGGGCGUAAAGAGCGCGCAGGCGGUCGUUCAAGUCGCGUGUGAAAGCCCCCGGCUCAACUGGGGAGGGUCACGGCGAUACUGAUCGACUCGAAGGCAGGAGAGGGAAGUGGAAUUCCCGGUGUAGUGGUGAAAUGCGUAGAUAUCGGGAGGAACACCAGUGGCGAAGGCGACUUCCUGGCCUGUUCUUGACGCUGAGGCGCGAAAGCUAGGGGAGCAAACGGG
rnacentral:rRNA from 1 species